AAAUUGAAGAGUUUGAUCAUGGCUCAGAUUGAACGCUGGCGGCAGGCCUAACACAUGCAAGUCGAACGGUAGCACAGAGAGCUUGCUCUCGGGUGACGAGUGGCGGACGGGUGAGUAAUGUCUGGGAAACUGCCUGAUGGAGGGGGAUAACUACUGGAAACGGUGGCUAAUACCGCAUAACGUCGCAAGACCAAAGAGGGGGACCUUCGGGCCUCUUGCCAUCAGAUGUGCCCAGAUGGG
rnacentral:rRNA from 6 species